rnacentral:lncRNA from 1 species
GUGCUUCAGCGCCUCCUCUGUUUUCCCCGGUGCCAGGGAGUCCUUGAGAUACCGGAUGUCUUUGGAGCAGCUGAGCUCAGGCAGGCCUGCUGCCUGCAUCAGGGCAAAGAGGUGGAGGAAGAGAAGCCCGUGGCGCCGCAGGAUGGUGUUAGGCCCUUUCACAGUAGCCCCGGAACCUUUCAAAUUUCUCAUAUUAUUAGUCUUCCCCUGCUCAAUCACAUGGACAAAGUCAUAGGUGAGGAUGAAUGGGACACGCUGACGGUUGAUUCCAAACGUGGUCUUGAAAUUCCCCCAGAAAGUGGCAAAAAUCAAUGUGGAACAGCUGCCCACUCGCUCGGAUCAUGAUGUUGUCGCUGUGCCGAUCACCGAUGCCCAGCACUGUGAAACUACAACUGUGUUUAUAAGGAGGAUGCCACUGGAAAUGAAUUCUGCUCAAAGAAUGAACUCUCUACACACAUCAUCUUUCUCUCACAGACAUCAUACCACCUCAAGCACUGCAGCCUCAAAAGGGGAAAUUCCUGAGUGAUUCUUCUUGAAGCUUAAAUUCUGUGGGAUUUUUAUGGUGGAAAACUUAGGAGAGGAACCAGACAGCCCAUCUAGGAGCUGAUACUCUUCUAGUGAAGACCACCCUUGCAGGAAAGCAUCUGUCCUCCCAGAAUCCGGAUGUUAGGUUUGAGAAUUUACUAAUGUGUGACUUCUCUGAAACAAUUUAUUUAGGAAAAAAGGUUGAAUAAAUAUAUACUCAAUAAAAGUAUUGCAAAAAUUAAAUAAAUCACAUAGGUAAAGGUUGUCUAAAUGGGAAAUUCCUUCAGACAAACAGGGAUUUUUAAUUGUGACCACCAUUGUGUUUGUUAUCCAUUGCCACAGUCAUCUGGGACAGAAUGCAAUCACAAACUCCUUACUGACUUAAGAAAACAAGCAUUUACUUAAUCCAAACAUAGGUCUGAGGGAGGCCGAGCCAUUUUUCUGCUCUCAGCUGGGCUCACUCAUGAAUCUGCAGCUACCAAUGUGAUCCAGGCAGCUCAACACAUGGAAGGUGGGCUUGCUGGGCAGUGCCCCCUGGUCUCAGCUGGAGGAACCAGUCUCCCCCAUGGUGUGUGUCAUCCACCAACAGGAUGUCCCAGGCUUGGUUUCAUGCUGACGGUGAUUUAUCAACACUGUAAGCAGAACCGUGAAAGGUGUCUUGAGGCCAGGUGCAGGAGCAACACAGUGUCCCCUCAGCUGCAUUGUCUUGGUCAAAACUAGCCACGAGGCCAGCCCAGAUUGGAAAUAUGAGAAGGAGAAGCAACUUCUUGAUGGCAAGACCUGCAAAGUCACAUUGCAGCGGGCAUGGAUACCCUCAGAGGAUUCAAAAAUUGUGGCUGCUUUUGAAAUCAAUCCACUACAUUCAUUAAAUAUAAUAUGUAUAUCAAAGGAUCACAGAAUAAAAUAAAUUUAAAUUGGAUGAAUACUGUCGCUGGAAAGAAGAUAAUAUUUUGGAGAAGACAGACAGUCUUGAAUCUGCCAUGGCUCAUAACAGAACCUGGGAAAAUUUAAGGAAUGAAAACAAAGGUGAUUAGUGAAGGGUCAACACACUCAUGGAUUUAUUACAUCAUCUGGCACUAGGAAGUCCUUCAGUUUCCACACUGAGCACGUGGAUGGGCAAUGAGUAUUUAAUAGUCUAUAUUUCUAGGUGGAACAGUCUUAAACCUUUAUUAAACUUUAGUAUUUUUAUUUGAUACCUCCCAUCUCCAUAGGUGGCUGCAACUCUAUUUCAUAGAACAUAAACAAAUUCCUUCUUACAGUGCUGUAUU